rnacentral:rRNA from 1 species
UACGAAGGGGGCUAGCGUUGUUCGGAAUUAUUGGGCGUAAAGCGUGCGCAGGCGGCUUCUCAAGUCAGGGGUGAAAGCCCAGAGCUCAACUCUGGAAUUGCCUUUGAGACUGAGUGGCUUGAGUACGGGAGAGGUGAGUGGAAUUCCCAGUGUAGAGGUGAAAUUCGUAGAUAUUGGGAAGAACACCGGUGGCGAAGGCGGCUCACUGGCCCGUAACUGACGCUCAUGCACGACAGCGUGGGGAUCAAACAGG